AUUUGUGUCUAAAACAUGUAGAGUGGUCAAGGACAAAUAGUGGCAUAAUGUCAAAGCGCAGUAUUGUGGGAUGUGGCUCCGGAAAGAAUGAAAACCAGAAAAGUUUGUCUUUGCACCGGUUACCAAGAAGUGAAAAUAGAAAAGGAAAAUGGUUAGAAGCAAUUGAAACUGAAAAUAUCAAGCCAAAUGUAAAGGAUAUAUCAUAGUAUGUUCCCUACAUUUCCCCGAAAGUGCUUUCAAUAGAACAAUGGAUGUGAUUAGUCUGCACGAUGAUGCUAUACCAGUAUGUUUGCCGCUGCAUUCACACAGGGUACCGGUUGAGCCUCAAAUCCCGAACUCAAAAAUGAACAGAGUGAAUCCGAGUGCAUCACAGGCUGCACGAAAUAGUUUAGUUCUAUAAUUUUCUCUGUUAUUAAGUAAUUAUUGUUUUUUUUUUCUAUUACCUACUGUAUAUUGUGUUGUUCAUCGUAAUAAAAAACUAUUAUAUACCUA